UUAAGUGGGGGAUAACUAGCCGAAAGGUUAGCUAAUACCGCAUACGAUCGUUGAGGGGCAUCUCUUGGCGAUGAAAGGAGCAAUCCGCUUAAAGACGGGACUGCGUCCCAUUAGCUAGUUGGCGGGGUAAUGGCCCACCAAUGCUCCGAUGGGUAGCUGGCUUGAGAGAGCGACCAGCCACACUGGAACCGAGACACGGUCCAGACUCCUACGGGAGGCAGCAGUGAGGAAUUUUCCGCAAUGGACGAAAGUCUGACGGAGCGACGCCGCGUGUGGGAAGAAGGCCUUCGGGUCGUAAACCACUGUCGAGGGGGACGAUACUGACG
rnacentral:rRNA from 1 species